AUACGUAGGGUGCGAGCGUUGUCCGGAAUUACUGGGUGUAAAGAGCUCGUAGGUGGUUUGUCGCGUCGUCUGUGAAAUUCCGGGGCUUAACUCCGGGCGUGCAGGCGAUACGGGCAUAACUUGAGUACUGUAGGGGAGACUGGAAUUCCUGGUGUAGCGGUGAAAUGCGCAGAUAUCAGGAGGAACACCGGUGGCGAAGGCGGGUCUCUGGGCAGUAACUGACGCUGAGGAGCGAAAGCAUGGGUAGCGAACAGGAUUAGAUACCCUGGUAGUCCAUGCCGUAAACGGUGGGCGCUAGGUGUAGGGGUCUUCCACGACUUCUGUGCCGUAGCUAACGCAUUAAGCGCCCCGCCUGGGGAGUACGGCCGCAAGGCUAAAACUCAAAGGAAUUGACGGGG
rnacentral:rRNA from 1 species